rnacentral:rRNA from 1 species
GUACACUCCUACGGGAGGCAGCAGUGGGGAAUAUUGCACAAUGGGCGCAAGCCUGAUGCAGCCAUGCCGCGUGUAUGAAGAAGGCCUUCGGGUUGUAAAGUACUUUCAGCGGGGAGGAAGGCAAUACGGUUAAUAACCGUGUUGAUUGACGUUACCCGCAGAAGAAGCACCGGCUAACUCCGUGCCAGCAGCCGCGGUAAUACGGAGGGUGCAAGCGUUAAUCGGAAUUACUGGGCGUAAAGCGCACGCAGGCGGUCUGUCAAGUCGGAUGUGAAAUCCCCGGGCUCAACCUGGGAACUGCAUUCGAAACUGGCAGGCUUGAGUCUUGUAGAGGGGGGUAGAAUUCCAGGUGUAGCGGUGAAAUGCGUAGAGAUCUGGAGGAAUACCGGUGGCGAAAGCGGCCCCCUGGACAAAGACUGACGCUCAGGUGCGAAAGCGUGGGGAGCAAACAGGAUUAGAUACCCCAGUAGUCCC